rnacentral:rRNA from 1 species
CAGCAGCCGCGGUAAUACGUAGGUGGCAAGCGUUGUCCGGAAUUAUUGGGCGUAUAGGGCUUGCAGGCGGUUUCUUAAGUCUGAUGUGAAAGCCCCCGGCUCAACCGGGGAGGGUCAUUGGAAACUGGGAAACUUGGGUGCAGAAGAGGAGAGUGGAAUUCCACGUGUAGCGGUGAAAUGCGUAGAGAUGUGGAGGAACACCAGUGGCGAAGGCGACUCUCUGGUCUGUAACUGACGCUGAGGAGCGAAAGCGUGGGGAGCGAACAGGAUUAGAUACCCGUGUAGUCCCUGUCUCUUAUAC